CCUUCCGUAGGGUGAACCUGCGGAAGGAUCAUUACCGAGUUCUCGAGCUUCGGCUCGACUCUCCCACCCUUUGUGAACACACCUCUGUUGCCUCGGCGGCCGCUCCGGUCGACCGAAGGACCUUCAAACUCCAGUCAGUAAACGCAGACGUCUGAUAAACAAGUCAAUAAACUAAAACUUUCAACAACGGAUCUCUUGGUUCUGGCAUCGAUGAAGAACGCAGCGAAAUGCGAUAAGUAAUGUGAAUUGCAGAAUUCAGUGAAUCAUCGAAUCUUUGAACGCACAUUGCGCCCCUUGGUAUUCCGAGGGGCAUGCCUGUUCGAGCGUCAUUACAACCCUCAAGCUCUGCUUGGUAUUGGGCUCCGUCCUCACUGCGGACGCGCCUCGAAGACCUCGGCGGUGGCUGUUCGGCCCUCAAGCGUAGUAGAAUACACCUCGCUUUGGAGCGGUCGGCGUCGCCCGCCGGACGAACCUUCUGAACUUUUCUCAAGGUUGACCUCGGAUCAGGUAGGGAUGCCCGCUGAACUUAAGCAUAUCAAUAAGCGGAGGAA
rnacentral:rRNA from 1 species